rnacentral:tRNA from 2 species
AUUUAUAUAGUAUAAAAAGUAUUUUUGACUUCCAAUCAAAUAGUCUAAUUAUUUUUAGUAUAAAUA